UACGUAGGGUGCAAGCGUUGUCCGGAAUUAUUGGGCGUAAAGAGCUCGUAGGCGGUUUGUCGCGUCUGCUGUGAAAACUCGGGGCUUAACUCCGGGCCUGCAGUGGGUACGGGCAGACUAGAGUGCGGUAGGGGAGACUGGAAUUCCUGGUGUAGCGGUGAAAUGCGCAGAUAUCAGGAGGAACACCAGUGGCGAAGGCGGCGCUCUGGGCUGGAACUGACGCUGAGGAGCGAAAGCGUGGGGAGCGAACAGG
rnacentral:rRNA from 1 species